AGAGUUUGAUCCUGGCUCAGAACGAACGCUUGCGGCAUGCUUAAAACAUGCAAGUCGAACGAGAAAGUGGCUUCGGCCAUGAGUAGAGUGGCGCACGGGUGAGUAACACGUAGCUAACGUUCCUCUUCGCUGGGGAUAACCUCGGGAAACCGAGGCUAAUACCGAAUGAUCUGACAUGGUCCUUGGACUAUGUCGGUAAAGCCUUCGGGCGCGAGGAGAUCGGGUUGCGUCCCAUUAGCUAGUUGGUAGGGUAAUGGCCUACCAAGGCUACGAUGGGUAGCUGGUCUGAGAGGAUGAUCAGCCACACUGGAACUGAAACACGGUCCAGACUCCCACGGGAGGCAGCAGUUGGGAAUAUUGGACAAUGGGGGAAACCCUGAUCCAGCAAUGCCGCGUGAAUGAUGAAGGCCUUCGGGUCGUAAAGUUCUUUUAGCAGGGAAGAAGGCCCUUUCGAAAGUUAGGGCUUGACUGUACCUGCAGAAAAAGCACCGGCUAACUCCGUGCCAGCAGCCGCGGUAAUACGGAGGGUGCAAGCGUUGUUCGGAAUUAUUGAGCGUAAAGCGCGUGUAGGCGGCUUGAUAAGUCUGGUGUGAAAGCCCGGGGCUUAACCCCGGAAGUGCACUGGAUACUAUCUAGCUAGAGGGUCGGAGAGGGAAGCGGAAUUCUUGGUGUAGGGGUGAAAUCCGUAGAUAUCAAGAGGAACACCGAUGGCGAAGGCAGCUUCCUGGCCGACAUCUGACGCUGAGACGCGAAAGCGUGGGUAGCAAACAGGAUUAGAUACCCUGGUAGUCCACGCCCUAAACGAUGGAUACUAGAUGUUGGAGUCCCUAAUAGCUUCAGUAUCGUAGCUAACGCGUUAAGUAUCCCGCCUGGGAAGUACGGUCGCAAGAUUAAAACUCAAAGGAAUUGACGGGGGCCCGCACAAGCGGUGGAGCAUGUGGUUUAAUUCGAUGCUACGCGAAAAACCUUACCUAGGCUUGACAUCCUGCGCUACUCUGUGAAAGCAGAGGUUCCCGCAAGGGACGCAGUGACAGGUGCUGCAUGGCUGUCGUCAGCUCGUGUUGUGAGAUGUUGGGUUAAGUCCCGCAACGAGCGCAACCCUCGCCGUUAGUUACCAUCAUUAAGUUGGGCACUCUAACGGAACCGCUUGGCUAUAAGCCAGAGGAAGGUGGGGAUGACGUCAAGUCCUCAUGGCCCUUAUGCCUAGGGCUACACACGUGCUACAAUGGGAAGGACAAAGCGCUGCUACUUCGCGAGAAGAUGCUAAUCGCAAAAACCUUUCCUCAGUUCGGAUUGGAGUCUGCAACUCGACUCCAUGAAGCUGGAAUCGCUAGUAAUCGUGGAUCAGAACGCCACGGUGAAUACGUUCCCGGGCCUUGUACACACCGCCCGUCACACCAUGGGAGUUGGUUUUACCGGAAAACGUUGAGCUAACCGUAAGGAGGCAGACG
rnacentral:rRNA from 1 species